UAAAGUGUAUACACUCAUUUAAUUGUUUAUUAUUUAUAUUGUACAGAAAGGUUGAUUACACAUGUAUUACUCAUUACGUUUCCUAUUGGAAAUAACAGGUAAGUAAACAAACCAGUGCUAUCUAUAUGCUGAAGGCGAUUGUUUCUCUAAACGCAGCUUAUUGUCAUGUAUGAAACUUGGGGGGAAAUCUACAGUCGUUAGGACUCCGGUGCUUUAUUUCAAAUAAGUUACCACGUUUUCGACUUUGUUGGCGAUAAUACUUUAUUUUUUUAUUUAUGGCUGAAAACUAAGACAGCAACCCGUAAGGAACACUAGAUUUUGGAAUCGCCGUUAUGUGAGGCAGUAUAUACGCCCACAUUCGUAUACCAGCUUCGAGCCUCGCACCUGUAACCAAUGGGAUGCAUCCAGCAGGCUCGCCAACCACUGUUCCACAGCAGCGCCAAACGAUUAAAUAAUUUUUUUUCUUGACAGAUAUACAAACGAUUUUAUAGUUUUGAAUCCUUAUAUCAAAUUGUGCAUAAAACUAAAUGGAAGAGAUAGAAGAAAGCAAGCCAGCAUGUGGUGAGAAAUGCCCAACGUGCGAACAAAUAAUAGAAAUCUGUCCAACUUGUGAGCAGCGAGUAAUAACUACUCAACCAGAAAAAGGUAUGGACAUUGACAAAGCAAUCGAAAGAUCUGGAAAGGUUUUAGGAUGUUGUUCAAAGAUGUUUAGUUGCAUUGGUAAAGCGAACACCAUGGCCGAGGAUCUGCAAAAGUAAAACACUCCACGCUUAUCUAUUGGUAGCCUAUAUACAGCAGUAGUGUGGGGUAAGAUGAGAAACCUUUAGUAAAUAAUAUCCAAAUAUCCUGAUAGUGUAAACAAAAACAACGCUCUCUGGAAAUCAUAAAUACAAGGUUUUAUAAUUCUUUAGGUGUUAUUUGUUUACUACCAAACUGGACAAGAAAAUGUAAUCAAAGGGUGUCCCAUCUUACCCCAAACUACUAUAUUUAUUUUAAGUUAUACAUGUCACAAAUGUAACACAAAAAAGUACAAUCAAUUAAAACUGUGGGCAUCUUUGUAAUUGCCCUACAAAUGUUCUCCUCUGAGAUAAAUCCAACGAUGCCAAUUUUCCGUUCAGCACCAGCAUCACGCUAAUAAGUGACGUCACGGGUGCUUCUCGCUUGAGUGCGUACCCACAUAACAUAAUGAAAAAUGCAUUGCUUAAAAACAGCAGCAUCUAUUAAUUCGUGUUCAAUUCAUCUUGGAUUUGUCAAUUUAGAAGCCCCCACAUUUCUUCGUGUUGUGUUUGUAAAUGUUUUUCCUUGUGAAUUAGCCUGAAUAUAAAGCUCUACUUUCGGUUUGAUACUCAUAUAUAUCCUUGAACAAGAGUUAAUAAAAAUUGCUUCA